UACAGAGGGGGCAAGCGUUGUUCGGAAUUACUGGGCGUAAAGGGCGCGUAGGCGGCCUGUUAAGUCGAACGUGAAAUCCCCGGGCUCAACCCGGGAACUGCGUCCGAUACUGGCAGGCUUGAAUCCGGGAGAGGGAUGCGGAAUUCCAGGUGUAGCGGUGAAAUGCGUAGAUAGUCUGGAGGAACACCGGUGGCGAAGGCGGGUCUCUGGGCCG
rnacentral:rRNA from 1 species